CCUACGGGUGGCUGCAGUGGGGAAUAUUGGACAAUGGGGGGAACCCUGAUCCAGCCAUGCCGCGUGUGUGAAGAAGGCCCUCGGGUUGUAAAGCACUUUCAGUGAGGAAGAACGCCUGGUGGUUAAUACCCAUCAGGAAAGACAUCACUCACAGAAGAAGCACCGGCUAACUCCGUGCCAGCAGCCGCGGUAAUACGGAGGGUGCGAGCGUUAAUCGGAAUUACUGGGCGUAAAGCGCGCGUAGGUGGCUUGAUAAGCCGGUUGUGAAAGCCCCGGGCGCAACCUGGGAACGGCAUCCGGAACUGUCAAGCUAGAGUGCAGGAGAGGAAGGUAGAAUUCCCGGUGUAGCGGUGAAAUGCGUAGGGCUCGGGGGGAAUACCAGUGGCGAAGGCGGCCUUCUGGACUGACACUGACACUGAGGUGCGAAAGCGUGGGUAGCAAACAGGAUUAGAUACCCUGGUAGUC
rnacentral:rRNA from 1 species